UGGUCGGCGAACAUUUUGCCACUCGCAGCACUUCCUGAAACUAGUCAUCCACUAGCCAAUCAAAUAUCCAGGACCGCCCUGCAAUGUUGCAUUCUGGUAAUUGUAGUGAAUGUGAUUACCUCAAAUCCUAUGUGUGUUAUGUGCACUGUAUAUGGAUUUAAACCGAAAAACUGUCUUUGGUACACUAUAAUCGUCUUUGAUUAUCUGGAUCGUAUACAAUAUUAGAUGGAAAUCAACCAACUGAUAAUUAACAGUUUAUAAACUACUUAUAAUAAUUUAACCUCCCUUUACUCGAUAUAGUUAUGGUAGUUGUUAAAUUAAAAUGUUCUACAAUUAUUCUCCCAAAUGCUUUUUUAGAUACAAAGUUGCCACUUCUCUUUGCUGCGAUUUCCCCUCCGAUCCUGUAGAUGGAACCAUGUGUCUUUGUUGUGUGCAUGUUUGUACAAAGAACUCGAAGCACACAUUGUUAUAUUUAACAAACUAAAUAUUUGACAGCUCGUUGAAAGUAAUACAUAUAGUUAUCAGCAUAUUUUAGUUGUAUAUAUACUUUUGCCAAAAUGUCGACAGCUUUUUGUUUUCAAGCACAGCUCGUUUCAGUCAUGGACGCGUUAUCAAAAACAGCUGUUUCAGAAAUAAGCAAACUGGUCGACAUCGAAUCAAAGGUUUUAAUAUUAGAAAUAACGCGUGGUCGGAAUGAAAUAGCAGCACUUACAGAGAAACUGCAGUUGAUGGAGAAUUUGCUUUGGAUCGACCGAGGGCACAGGCAGCACGCAACCGCAGAUACACGCACGAAAACACCAACAAGAGUGAGAGACGGUUCAAUGAACGAUUAUUGUGAAAUACCUCAGUCUGAGCCCAAAAGACCUGCAAUCAAAAAAAGUGAGAGUUCCUGGGAAAACAUUUGUCCUCCCCAAGAGAUGCACGUCAUCCAUCCGGUUGAAGAUAUUGCUCUUGUUUUGGAAACAGUGCCUACCACAGUGGUGAGAGACCAGCCUAAGUUGAUUGUGAUCAAGGAGGAACCUUCAGAGGUGGACAUAUGGGGUAGUGGGCCAAAGACUGAACUCAUAAAUGAAAAGGAAGCAGCAACAUCACUUGAUACAGAUGUUAGGUGUCUUGAUGUGCAUCAGCAUUGUCCAGACGGCUCAGACAAACACCCUAUGCUUACUGAGAGCCAAGUGAACCACAGCACUCCGCCCUCAUCCAGAGUGCAAUUGGAGGACCUGGACACACAUUGGAUGCCGCCUGCAUGUUCACAGAGCCAGGAUGCACAGCAGAUCACACCUGCUGCACAGAGAAACUCCAUAACUGGAAACAGCUCUGGUGGUAUAACAAAUCUGCCCUUUCAGAGUUUCAGUGUGGCAAAGUCAAACAUGAAGAUCCACAGCCUGAGAACGUCAGGAGCUAAAAGAUUUGGCUGUAUGCAAUGUGGCAAGAACUUCAGGUGUUACAGUCAGCUGGAAAUACACCAGCGAAGUCACACUGGAGAAAAACCGUACCGAUGCACACUGUGUGGAAAGAGAUACGCACAGAAAGGGCAUCUUUAUACCCACCAACGCACCCAUACUGGAGAAAAACCAUAUCGCUGCCUCGACUGUGGCAAGAGCUUCAUUCAAAAAUGCACUCUCGAUAUGCAUCAGCGCACCCACACUGGAGAAAAACCUUAUGUUUGUGUGAAAUGUGGGAAGGGAUUUACUAAAAACUGUAACCUUAAGAAACACAUGGGUGUACAUACAGAGUUCAGCAUGCAUGUUUACAGUGAGUCCAGUUUUCAAGAGGACAGAUGUUAAAAUAGACCAUCAGUACUAGUACCAACCAACCAGCCUCUGCAGUGGAUUUGAUGGACUUCAGUCAUUAAAAGUUUUCCUCAUAGAAUAGAAGUUUUUGCUUUUCAGAAAAAUAAAGGUGUCCCCUUUUCAACAUUU